GACGAACGCUGGCGGCGUGCUUAACACAUGCAAGUCGAGCGGAAAGGCCACUUCGGUGGUACUCGAGCGGCGAACGGGUGAGUAACACGUGAGUAAUCUGCCCCUCACUUUGGGAUAGCCACCGGAAACGGUGAUUAAUACCGGAUAUGACCAUCUGUCGCAUGGCGUGUGGUGGAAAGUUUUUCGGUGAGGGAUGUUCUCGCGGCCUAUCAGCUUGAUGGUGAGGUAAUGGCUCACCAUGGCUUCGACGGGUAGCCGGCCUGAGAGGGUGACCGGUCACAGGGGGACUGAGACACGGGCAGGACACCUGAGGGAGGCAGGAGUGGGGAAUUGUGGACAACGGGCGGAAGGCUGAUCCAGCAAUGCCGCGUGGGUGAAGAAGGCCUUCGGGUUGGAAAGCACUUGUGUACGGAAAGAAAGCCGUGGAGCUAAUAAAGGCGGGGGAUGACGGUACCGGAAGAAUAAGCACAGGAUAACUACGUG
rnacentral:rRNA from 1 species